rnacentral:rRNA from 1 species
UACGGAGGGUGCAAGCGUUGUCCGGAAUCACUGGGCGUAAAGGGCGCGUAGGCGGCUCGGUAAGUAGGGGGUGAAAUCCUGCGGCUUAACCGCAGGGCUGCCUUCUAAACUGUCGAGCUCGAGCACGGUAGAGGCAGAUGGAAUUCCCGGUGUAGCGGUGGAAUGCGUAGAGAUCGGGAAGAACACCCGUGGCGAAGGCGGCUCUCUGGUACGUGACUGACGCUUAGACGCGAAAGCGUGGGGAGCGAACAGG